UCGGGAAUUUUGGGCAAUGGGGGAAACCCUGACCCAGCAACGCCGCGUGAAGGAUGAAGUAUUUCGGUAUGUAAACUUCGAAAGAAUAGGAAGAAUAAAUGACGGUACUAUUUAUAAGGUCCGGCUAACUACGUGCCAGCAGCCGCGGUAAUACGUAGGGACCAAGCGUUGUUCGGAUUUACUUGGGCGUAAAGGGCGCGUAGGCGGCAUGACAAGUCACUUGUGAAAUCUCUGGGCUUAACCCAGAACGGCCAAGUGAUACUGUCGCGCUAGAGUGCAGAAGGGGCAAUCGGAAUUCCUAGUGUAGAGGUGAAAUUCGUAGAUAUUAGGAAGAACACCAGUGGCGAAGGCGGCUCACUGGACCAAUACUGACACUGAGGCGCGAAAGCGUGGGGAGCAAACAGGAUUAGAUACCCCAGUAGUCCCUGAGCGGGCUGGCAAGGCGCAU
rnacentral:rRNA from 1 species